rnacentral:rRNA from 1 species
UACGAAGGGGGCUAGCGUUGCUCGGAAUGACUGGGCGUAAAGGGCGCGUAGGCGGAUGGCACAGUCAGAUGUGAAAUUCCUGGGCUUAACCUGGGGGCUGCAUUUGAUACGUGUGAUCUAGAGUGAGGAAGAGGGUUGUGGAAUUCCCAGUGUAGAGGUGAAAUUCGUAGAUAUUGGGAAGAACACCGGUGGCGAAGGCGGCAUCCUGGACCGGCAUUGACGCUGAUGAGCGAAAGCCAGGGGAGCAAACGGG